rnacentral:rRNA from 7 species
AAAUUGAAGAGUUUGAUCAUGGCUCAGAUUGAACGCUGGCGGCAGGCCUAACACAUGCAAGUCGAACGGUAACAGGAAGCAGCUUGCUGCUUCGCUGACGAGUGGCGGACGGGUGAGUAAUGUCUGGGAAACUGCCUGAUGGAGGGGGAUAACUACUGGAAACGG